rnacentral:rRNA from 1 species
GACGAACGCUGGCGGCGUGCUUAACACAUGCAAGUCGAACGGUAAGGCUCCAGCUUGCUGGGGUACACGAGUGGCGAACGGGUGAGUAACACGUGGGUGACCUGCCCUGCACUUCGGGAUAAGCCUGGGAAACUGGGUCUAAUACCGGAUAGGACCGCACCGUGAGGGUGUGGUGGAAAGUUUUUUCGGUGUGGGAUGGGCCCGCGGCCUAUCAGCUUGUUGGUGGGGUAAUGGCCUACCAAGGCGGCGACGGGUAGCCGGCCUGAGAGGGUGGACGGCCACAUUGGGACUGAGACACGGCCCAGACUCCUACGGGAGGCAGCAGUGGGGAAUAUUGCACAAUGGGCGGAAGCCUGAUGCAGCGACGCCGCGUGGGGGAUGACGGCCUUCGGGUUGUAAACUCCUUUCACCAUCGACGAAGGGUUUCUGACGGUAGAUGGAGAAGAAGCACCGGCUAACUACGUGCCAGCAGCCGCGGUAAUACGUAGGGUGCGAGCGUUGUCCGGAAUUACUGGGCGUAAAGAGCUCGUAGGUGGUUUGUCGCGUCGUCUGUGAAAUUCCGGGGCUUAACUCCGGGCGUGCAGGCGAUACGGGCAUAACUUGAGUACUGUAGGGGAGACUGGAAUUCCUGGUGUAGCGGUGAAAUGCGCAGAUAUCAGGAGGAACACCGGUGGCGAAGGCGGGUCUCUGGGCAGUAACUGACGCUGAGGAGCGAAAGCAUGGGGAGCGAACAGGAUUAGAUAUCCUGGUAGUCCAUGCCGUAAACGGUGGGCGCUAGGUGUGGGUUUCCUUCCACGGGAUCCGUGCCGUAGCUAACGCAUUAAGCGCCCCGCCUGGGGAGUACGGCCGCAAGGCUAAAACUCAAAGGAAUUGACGGGGGCCCGCACAAGCGGCGGAGCAUGUGGAUUAAUUCGAUGCAACGCGAAGAACCUUACCUGGGCUUGACAUAUACAGGAUCGCGCCAGAGAUGGUGUUUCCCUUGUGGCUUGUAUACAGGUGGUGCAUGGUUGUCGUCAGCUCGUGUCGUGAGAUGUUGGGUUAAGUCCAGCAACGAGCGCAACCCUUGUCUUAUGUUGCCAGCACGUUGUGGUGGGGACUCGUAAGAAACUGCCGGGGUUAACUCGGAGGAAGGUGGGGAUGACGUCAAAUCAUCAUGCCCCUUAUGUCCAGGGCUUCACACAUGCUACAAUGGUCGGUACAGUGGGUUGCCAGUCCGUGAGGGCGAGCUAAUCCCGCAAAGCCGGUCUCAGUUCGGAUCGGGGUCUGCAACUCGACCCCGUGAAGUCGGAGUCGCUAGUAAUCGCAGAUCAGCAACGCUGCGGUGAAUACGUUCCCGGGCCU